rnacentral:rRNA from 1 species
AGUGAACGCUGGCGGUAGGCCUAACACAUGCAAGUCGAACGGCAGCACAGUAAGAGCUUGCUCUUACGGGUGGCGAGUGGCGGACGGGUGAGGAAUACAUCGGAAUCUACUUUUUCGUGGGGGAUAACGUAGGGAAACUUACGCUAAUACCGCAUACGACCUACGGGUGAAAGCAGGGGAUCUUCGGACCUUGCGCGAUUGAAUGAGCCGAUGUCGGAUUAGCUAGUUGGCGGGGUAAAGGCCCACCAAGGCGACGAUCCGUAGCUGGUCUGAGAGGAUGAUCAGCCACAAUGGAACUGAGACACGGGCCAGAAUCCUAAGGGAGGCAGCAGUUGGGAAUAUUUGACAAUUGGCGCAAGCCUGAACCAGCCAUACCGCGUGGGUGAAGAAGGCCUUCGGGUUGUAAAACCCUUUUGUUGGGGAAGAAAAGCAGCAGGUUAAAACCCCGCCGUUCUGAAGGUACCCAAAGAAUAAGCACCGGCUAACUUCGUG